GGAGCCUUGGGGAGAAACCUGGGGGAGGCAGGGGUGAGGGCAUAGGGCGUUGAGUGAUUUUUGAGGAAAGGCUCUAGAGAAGCGCCGCGUUAAAGUAGGGAGGAGGGCCCCCCGAAACUGGCUGCCCCGGGGCAGGGCCGGUUGACCCGCGCCUGGGAGGAGCCCCGCGUCCCGUCGCGCCGACCCUGGGCUGGCUGCGUGUGCGUCGGGAGUCGAGCCGCCGUACGCACCAGGAAGUGACUCCCAGCGGCAGAGAUCCACGCUGUCCGCUGGCUUUUUCGUUUGCCGCCUCAGCUGAGAACCGUGUGUGGGGCCAGCCUAACUGAAGGAAAUGUAAACAGAGUGUAAGCAGGACCCUUGUCUGUGGGCAGAGACACACGCAGAGGGAGAAGCAGGCUCCAUGCAGGAAGCCCGAGGC